rnacentral:rRNA from 1 species
UACGGAGGAGGCAAGCGUUAUCCGGAAUUAUUGGGCGUAAAGCGUCCGUAGGUGGUUUAGUAAGUCUGCUGUUAAAGCGCGGGGCUUAACUCCGUAUCGGCAGUGGAAACUACUAGACUAGAGUGUGGUAGGGGUAGAGGGAAUUCCCAGUGUAGCGGUGAAAUGCGUAGAUAUUGGGAAGAACACCGGUGGCGAAAGCGCUCUGCUGGACCUUAACUGACACUGAGGGACGAAAGCUAGGGGAGCGAAUGGG